rnacentral:lncRNA from 1 species
CCUGGGCAACAAGAGGGAAACUCUGUCUCAAAGAAAAAAAAAAAAAAGAAUCACUUGAGAAAAUUUAAAAGUUUAAAUCGGAUUGAUGAUCUUCAGCAGGAACAGGGUUCAGGAGUACUUUAAAGAAGUUUCUAAGUGAUUUUGAUAUAGUCAUUGGGAAAGAUUUUUCCGGGUGACACCAAAUAUGUGUUUUUCCACACCAACCCUCCAAUGCCAGUUAGGUGUCCUCCAGUUUAUUUCAGACACACACUAUCCAGAGUUAUCAUCAGAUUUCACAGGUUUAAGGGCUCAGUUCCUCAAGACUGCCUUCACUUCAGAUGCCAGUCACCACGUAUUGGGUUCCCAUGCUGCCUGCUUCUGUCCAACAUGGCUAUAAACUCGGAAGUUCCCACAUUCGCCAUCAAGAGUCAAUAAU